GCCUUACCAGGUCUUGACAUCCUUUGACCACUCUAGAGAUAGAGCUUCCCCUUCGGGGGCAAAGUGACAGGUGGUGCAUGGUUGUCGUCAGCUCGUGUCGUGAGAUGUUGGGUUAAGUCCCGCAACGAGCGCAACCCUUAUUGUUAGUUGCCAUCAUUCAGUUGGGCACUCUAGCAAGACUGCCGGUGACAAACCGGAGGAAGGUGGGGAUGACGUCAAAUCAUCAUGCCCCUUAUGACCUGGGCUACACACGUGCUACAAUGGGAAGUACAACGAGUUGCGAAGUCGCGAGGCUAAGCUAAUCUCUUAAAGCUUCUCUCAGUUCGGAUUGCAGGCUGCAACUCGCCUGCAUGAAGCCGGAAUCGCUAGUAAUCGCGGAUCAGCACGCCGCGUCC
rnacentral:rRNA from 1 species